ACAGUCACAUCACGUUGAAACACCGGUUCCCGUACGAUUACAAAAGUUAAGCAACCUCCACCUGGUCAGUCCGUCGAUGGGUGACCGCUUAGGAAUCCCAGGUGUGGUAA